GACGAACGCUGGCGGCGUGCCUAAUACAUGCAAGUAGAACGCUGAAGGAGGAGCUUGCUCUUCUGGAUGAGUUGCGAACGGGUGAGUAACGCGUAGGUAACCUGCCUGGUAGCGGGGGAUAACUAUUGGAAACGAUAGCUAAUACCGCAUAACAGUAGAUGUUGCAUGACAUUUACUUAAAAGGUGCAAUUGCAUCACUACCAGAUGGACCUGCGUUGUAUUAGCUAGUUGGUGGGGUAACGGCUCACCAAGGCGACGAUACAUAGCCGACCUGAGAGGGUGAUCGGCCACACUGGGACUGAGACACGGCCCAGACUCCUACGGGAGGCAGCAGUAGGGAAUCUUCGGCAAUGGACGGAAGUCUGACCGAGCAACGCCGCGUGAGUGAAGAAGGUUUUCGGAUCGUAAAGCUCUGUUGUAAGAGAAGAAUGAGUGUGAGAGUGGAAAGUUCACACUGUGACGGUAUCUUACCAGAAAGGGACGGCUAACUACGUG
rnacentral:rRNA from 1 species